AUGAACAAAGCUAAUGGAGGUAAUGGAAUUCCAGUUGAGCUGUUUCAUAUCCUGAAAGAUGAUGCUGUGAAAGUGCUGCACUCAAUAUGCCAGCAAAUUCGGAAAACUCAGCAGUGGCCACAGGGCUGGAAAAGGUCAGUUUUCAUUCCAAUCCCAAAAAAAGGCAAUGCCAAAGAAUGCUCAAACUACCACACAAUUGCACUCAUCUCACAUGCUAGUAAUGUAAUGCUCAAAAUUCUCCAAGCCAGGCUUCAGCAAUACGUGAACCGUGAACUCCCUGAUGUUCAAGCUGGCUUUAGAAAAGGCAGAGGAACCAGAGAUCAAAUUGUCAACAUCCGUUGGAUAAUGGAUAAAGCAAGAGAGUUCCAGAAAAACAUCUAUUUCUGCUUUAUUGACUAUGCCAAAGCCUUUGGCUGUGUGGAUCACAAUAAACUGUGGAAAAUUCUGAAAGAGAUGGGAAUACCAGACCACCUGACCUGCCUCUUGAGAAACCUAUAUGCAGGUCAAGAAGCAACAGUUAGAACUGGACAUGGAACAGACUGGUUCCAAAUAGGAAAAGGAAUAUGUCAAGGCUGUAUAUUGUCACCUUGCUUAUUUAACUUGUAUGCAGAGUAUAUCAUGAGAAAAGCUGGGCUGGAUGAAGCACAAGCUGGAAUCAAGAUUGUUGGGAGAAAUAUCAAUAAUCUCAGAUAUGCAGAUGACACCACCCUUAUGGCAGAAAGUGAAGAGGAACUACAAAGCCUCUUGAUGAAAGUGAAAGAGGAGAGUGAAAAAGGUGGCUUACAGCUCAACAUUAAGAAAACAAAGAUCAUGGCAUCUGGUCCCAUUACUUCAUGGCAAAUAGAUGGGGAAACAGUGGAAAUAGUGUCAGACUUUAUUUUGGGGGGCUCCAAAAUCACUGCAGAUGGUGACUGCAGCCAUGAAAUUAAAAGACGCUUACUCCUUGGAAGGAAAGUUAUGACCAACCUAGAUAGCAUAUUAAAAAGCAGAGACAUUACUUUGCCAACAAAAGUCCAUCUAAUCAAGGCUAUGGUUUUUCCAGUGGUCAUGUGUGGAUGUGAGAGUUGGACUGUGAAGAAAGCUGAAUGCUGA
rnacentral:lncRNA from 1 species